UGGCGCUGGGCCUAGGUAAGCUUGAUUAGUAGCGGAGCGGGCCGUGCUGCCCCAAGGCCGGCCCGGACGUUGCUCAGCUAUAGGUUGGCCCUCAUGAAUUUUUUUUUUGGAUCUGCCGUACAAUGAAAUCCAUAAAAAAAAUCCCGUGGUUUCAAAUCCUAAAAAUCUAACGUGUUGUAUCUAACUAUGAAACGGAAGGAGUAACUCUUUUUUUUUUUAAAGAAACGCAUGCAUUCCAAUGAACUUGCAGACACGGCAAGAUCGCCGGCCGCUAGUCGAGAUACAUCUGGAGGUAGGUUCUCAAGCUACAGUAAAUGUUCAGUUUAGACACGAUAUGAACCCACUGCAGCCAACACAUGUGCUGGUUUGUUACAAACCCGAGCAAC
rnacentral:lncRNA from 1 species